CAGCCUCCCGAGUAGCUGGAGCUACAGGCGCCCGCCGCCACGCCUGGCCAAUUUUUUUGUAUUUUUAGUAGAGAUGGGGUUUCACCGUGUUAGCCAGGAUGGUCUCGAUCUCCCGACCUCGUGAUCCACCCGUCUCGGCCUCCCAAAGUGCUGAGAUUACAGGCGUGAGCCACCGUGCCCAGCCAAAUCUGCUUUUUAAUCAGCUCCCUGCUUCGCGGGAUUCUUAGAAGGAAGAGGAAGAAACAAAAGGAACUUCUCUCUUAGAUUUAAUUCUGACCUACCAGGAAGAACUGGAUUGUUGAAGCAGAAGUACUGGAGUCUCUGGAGCUAAAACCAAGGAUAAGAACAUUAAGAUUAUCCUGCUGGAGAGAGAGGCCAUGCGGAAGAACCCUGGAAAAUGAGACAGCUCACAGAGCAAGAGGCCAUGUGGAGAAGGCCUAGAAGUAAAAUGCCUCAUGGAACAAGAGGCCACAUGCAGAAGGCCUGGAGGAUGAGACGCCCUGUGAAGUGAGAGGCCACGUGGAGAAGGCCUAGAGGAGGAGACACCUUAUGGAGCAAGAGGCCGAAUGGAGAAGCCCCAGAGGGUUAGACACCUUGUGGAGCAAGAGGUCACACGCAGAAGUCCUGGGAGUGAGAUGCCUCACGAAGCGAGAUGCCUCGUGAAGCGAGAUGCCUCGUGGAGUGAGAGGCCAUGUGGAAGAACCCUGGAACUCAGCGGCUGAUAACACAAAGAUCCCAUGGUGUGAGAGAGGCCUUCAUGAACUUCCCGUCCAGCCCAGCUAGAGCCAAAUGGAGCCAUAUGUGUGACCGCAAGUGACAUCUACAAAAGAACGACCCAGUCACCCUGAGAAUUGUUAGAAAUGCAAAGCACUAAGUUUUGGGGUAGUUUGUUACACAGCAAUAGCUAACUGAUACAGAUGGUUUGAAUUACUUGACUUUAAAGUUCCUUCUUACCCUGAAAGUUUAUGGCUUAGUAAAGUGAAUUAAGCACAUUUGACUGAAACAGAGAGAUGGUGUAGGAAAAGAUCAGAAGGUAAGGGCAGGGCAAGGUGAGGAAGGCUUUCCGUGCCACGAUAAGGAAUUUGAGCUUUAACUGGUAGGUUCUGAAGCUGUCCCAGGAGGAAGUGACAUGAGAAGAUAGUUUUUUAGGAAGACCCACACUGCAGCAGCAUGUAGAUCAGACACGUGGGCACACAGAGCAGAUGUGAGAGAGAAGGAGGCAUGGAGACCUGAUUGCUGAGGCAAAAAGAUGCAGCUGACAAUUAUGGAGCAACAAGCUACUGAAUACAGAAUUGAACAUUCAGUCUUCAAGACACAGAUAAAUGGCACAUGCUUCUACUUGCAUUCCAUUGGCAAGAACACACGGCACACCAGCUGCCCACGGGGAUAGGGAAUCCCAGCUAGAAUUCCAUCCAAUAGAAGACAGAGGGGAGAGAAGAGCAGGGUAUUGGUAUCCACGCAAUUCAUCCAUUUAUUCCUCAAGCAUGUGUUAAGCGUUUGGCGAUGCUUCACGAUGUUGGACUCUGGACAUUCACAGAAGAUGAACACAUCUCACAAAAGAUCUGGAUUUUGUCUGGAAACUCAAGUAUAAGACCUAGCACCACUUGCCAAGGACCUCUGCUUUGCUUUGGUAGGCCAAGGGUCUGGCUCUGUUACCCAGGCUGGAUUGCAGUGGUGCAAUCUCGGCUCCUGUAACCUUCACCUCCUGUAACCUUCACCUCCUGGGCUCAACCCAUCCUCUGGCCUCAGCCUCCUGAGGAACUGGGACUUACAGGUGUGCCACCACACACAGCAAUUUUUUUUUUUUUUGUAUUUUUGGUAGAGAUGGGGUUUCAUCAUGUUGGUCAGGCUGGUCUCUAACUCCUGGGCUCAAGUGAUCUGCCCAUCUCAGCCUCCCAAAGUGCUGGGAUUAUAGGCGUGAGCCACCGCACCAAGCCCUACUUUGUAUUUUGAAUAGAAGCAACAGCAGUGAUGGGAUUCGUACUCCAAACCUCAGCGUCACACAACAUUCCCAUGCAGCAAAUCUGCACAUGUAUCCUCUGUAUCUAAAAUAAAAGUUGAAAUGUUUUUAAAAAGAAGCAAUGGUAGCACUCUGUUUUAAACUAAUGUUAAUGUUCUCAAAGCCACAGUGGAAGAAAUCCACUACAUAUCACCUAGAACUGGAGAUCUAAUCUGACAGGUGGGCCACAGUACUAAUAAUGUGAGCACAAUUCCUAUACAAAAUUUUAUUAAACUGUAUUAGUUGAGCAGACAAAACUACACAGACACUCUUCUCUCUGCCUUGUUCCUUCUUGUACUCUG
rnacentral:lncRNA from 1 species